rnacentral:rRNA from 1 species
GAUGAACGCUGACAGAAUGCUUAACACAUGCAAGUCGGUGGCGGACGGGUGAGUAACGCGUAAGAACUUGCCUCACAGUUAGGGACAACAUUUGGAAACGAAUGCUAAUACCUGAUACUGUGAGAGAGCUUUGCGUCCCAUUAGCUAGUUGGAGAGGUAACGGCUCACCAAGGCGAUGAUGGGUAGCCGGCCUGAGAGGGUGAUCGGCCACAAGGGGACUGAGACACGGUCCAGACUCCUACGGGAGGCAGCAGUGGGGAAUAUUGCACAAUGGGCGCAAGCCUGAUGCAGCCAUGCCGCGUGUGUGAAGAAGGCCUUCGGGUUGUAAAGCACUUUCAGCGGGGAGGCGUUACCCGCAGAAGAAGCACCGGCUAACUCCGUGCCAGCCGCCGCGGUAAUAC